ensembl:lncRNA
CCGAGCGCCGGGCCCGCCCUCAUGGUGGCGGUGGCGGCGGCCGAGCGGACAGACUGGCGGACACACUGCACGAGUUGAGGUCAGGCCAGGCGAGGGCGUGGUAUGUUACGGUGACCUGGGGAAGAGACCUGAGCAGGAGAGGCCAUCGGGACCCAGAGCGGAAGUAGGGCCAGGGGGAGAGGAGCCGAGGUCCGUGGGAUCUGUCUGCCUGUCUGUCUUUGUGAGUGGAGUGGCAGGCAAGUGCAAGGUGGUGUGUACCCAGGCACACUGUACUGGGGAGGAGCUGAGGUACUGCCCCAGCAUUGACCUGCCUGCCUGCCCAUCUACCUGCUUGCCCACCCUCCCCUGCAUUUGGACUGGAGAGGCUCACUCCUCCACUGGACAGGAGCCAGAGAACUUGGGCAAAUCAACUUACUACGAAGAAGGGAGCCAGCUGGCCAGCCUAACUCCAACACAGCCUUGGUGGAUCAGGUACCAGUUUUGAGCCUUGGAAAGGAGACACUUCUAGAGCUUGGCAGAGAAAGACCCCAUCAGCAUACCAUCCUGACAACCUCCUUCCCUUCCUCCAUUGAUAGCUGAUCUCCUGUUGCCUCCCUUUGGGGAGGAGCUGCCUCACUGGUGCUCCAUCCGUUUAUGAUGGUAAUGGGGGCUAUAAACUGACACUGGAAAGCUCAACAUUCUGACUAAGCCGGGAGGGGCCAAAGGAAAAAGGAGCGGAAGAUUGGAGAGGGUCUGAUGAUGGGGAGCUCUCUGGUUGGACCUGUUGAUUCUCUGACUUGGAAGGAGGAAGUCAGGGGUACUGCCAGUACCCUUGGAGGGACCAUCACUUACUGGUGAUUGUUCUCCCUUCCCCUGCCCUUCAGUGGCUUGGGAAGCUGGAGCCUCCUUAUCAGGGUAAUUAGCAGCAGACCCUGGACUGAGACUGGCCUCUGUCUCAAUAACUGCUUCCCUGCCGAGUGGAUCCUGCCUGCUGUGCACCACACAUACCAGCUGUGCACCCUGACCCUGUGGGGGGAGGGGACGGGAGAAAGGAGCAAGGUGGGGGUGGGCAUAGAUCUUCAAUGUCUUGGGCACUGAACUUAAUCAGCACAGUGACAGGCCAGAGGGUCAGGGGCACUGAGGCGAUUGCUUGCCCAGCUUUUCCUUCUACCUAUUCUCCAGCUGUCACGGGAAAGGUACUUGGGCCCCAGUCUCUGGACACUGAGGUCUAGGGCUUCAGGAACCAGAACUGGGGAGCUUUGGGGAGGGGGGAAGGCAGAUAGUGACCAGUUCCCAGACUAGGAUUGAGUCAUUUGGAUAGACUGCUUCCUGGACCCCAGCCUUCUCCACAGAUUUGUCUAGGUAGCACUGUUGAGAGCCAGAGUCAGCACUAUGGAGGCAGUUUCUUGCCUUUGGGGCCAAAGGCUCGGAUUAUGGAGCAGCUAAUUGAACAAUAGCUACAGCGAGAUCCCAAGGAG